GCGGCCGCGGGGAGCGGGCUCCGGUGCGGGAGUGAUCCUCUGUCAGUGAACCCCGGCGAGGGAGUGGACCCGACCCCCUAGUUGGGUGCGUUCCUACCUUAUCGAGUCUGGGAUCGGGCCUGGAAGGGACCCAGCCGAGUAGGCAAAGCGGAGCGACGAGCCGCCUUCCCCGCAGUUCGCUUCUGAAAAGAAGCCUACGGGACCACAUGGCAGCCCAUCAGGAGAAAAAACUUGCUGAAGAAAGAAAACACCAAAACAUGCAAAAUGAUACUAAAACAUCUCAAGGCCAGUGGGGAAGAGCUUGGGAGGUGGACUGGUUUUCCUUGGCAAGCAUCCUUUUCCUGCUCGUGUUUGCACCACUGAUAGUGUAUUACUUCAUCAUGUCCUGUGCCCAGUACCAGUGCUCUCUGACUGAUCCACUCCUGGACUUGCUGAAGGGGGAUAAGCAUCUGUCUGACAUCUGGAACAGGACUCCCAGGCUGACCUAUAGGGCUGCUGGCAUUUAUUCCCUUUGGGUUGCUUUCCAGGUGGUUUUGUAUGUGUCCAUUCCUGAUUUCUGCCAUAAAUUUCUCCCUGGCUAUGUGGGAGGUGUACAAGAAGGUGCUGUCACCCCUGCAGGUGUCGUGAAUAAAUAUGAAAUCAAUGGACUUCAGGCCUGGAUCAUUACCCAUGUACUUUGGUUUGCAAAUGCUUCUUGCUUUCAUUUCUUCUCACCUACCAUCAUUUUUGACAACUGGAUUCCUCUCCUGUGGUGUGCCAAUAUCUUGGGAUAUACAGUGUCCACAUUUGCAAUGAUUAAAGGCUACUUUUUCCCUACCAAUGCCAAAGACUGCAAAUUCACUGGAAACUUCUUUUAUGACUACAUGAUGGGGAUUGAAUUUAACCCUCGAAUAGGGAAGUGGUUUGAUUUCAAGUUGUUCUUCAAUGGGCGCCCUGGUAUUGUGGCCUGGACUCUAAUCAACCUUUCCUUUGCUGCCAAACAACAGGAGCUGUACGGUGAAGUAACAAACUCCAUGAUCCUUGUCAAUGUCCUCCAGGGUAUUUAUGUUCUGGACUUCUUUUGGAAUGAAGCCUGGUACUUGAAAACCAUUGAUAUCUGUCAUGAUCAUUUUGGAUGGUAUUUGGGCUGGGGAGACUGUGUUUGGUUGCCUUACCUCUAUACUUUGCAGGGUCUGUAUUUGGUUUACUAUCCUGUCCAGCUGUGCACAGCUCACGCCGUAGGGGUCUUGAUGUUGGGCUUGCUGGGUUAUUAUAUCUUCAGAAUGACCAAUCACCAGAAGGACCUCUUCCGUCGCACCAAUGGCAACUGCAGGAUCUGGGGGAAGAAGCCUGAGUACAUCGAGUGCUCCUACAUGUCCGUGGAUGGGACCAAGUACUACAGCAAGCUGAUGACCUCUGGAUUUUGGGGCUGGGCACGUCAUUUCAACUACACAGGAGACCUGAUGGGCUCGCUGGCCUAUUGCCUUGCUUGUGGCUUUGAGCACAUUCUGCCUUAUUUCUAUAUUAUUUACAUGACCAUUCUGCUCACCCACCGCUGCAUUAGGGAUGAGCACCGUUGUAGCAGCAAGUAUGGGAAGGACUGGAAGCAUUACACUGCUGCAGUGCCCUACCGGCUCCUGCCUGGAAUAUUUUAAGGCUAACACAGGAUGCAGGGGAAAUAAAAAAGAAGAAACAUGCAGGCAUGCCAUGUUUAAAGUAACUGAAGUGAGGCACUGAACUGCCCCAUUUUUUUAGAAGACUCUUAAUUGGAAUAUCCCUCUGAAUCUCCCCAUUUCCUAAUUAACUUAGAGCUUAAGAAAAGAUGCAUAAAUUGAGACUCCUGAGAAAUCCCAAAGCUGGGAAGUGGCCUUACCCUUGAUCUGGAAGCAGUUUGCAGUGCUUCAGGAGAGAAGAAAAAGAGUUCUGUCAUCUGUUUAGGAAAGAAGUUUUCUGAUGCAGUUUCUUGUGACCAUCAGAACCUACAACUGAGAACAACGGCAAAGGAGAUUUGAUUGUUGGUUGCUUGUCAAGAAAUGAAUGGUGGAAAUACUGGACUGCAGAAGCUGGUCUGAUAUAACUGUAAUGAUCUAAAACAAAAGUGAAAACUGUUAUAAAUUAGUGCCAUUUUCAGCACCUGACAACAAGGAACAUGACCAACUGGGUUUUAUUUUGAUACUGAAACCAGACUUUGUGAAGCUACUGAGCUGAGCUAGUGCAUCUGAGGUAGUUAUUUUUUUCAUAGUAGCUGGUAUGGGCUUUGGAUUUAAGCUUAAUGCUAUUGCUGAGCAUUGUUUUCACAGCAUCAAGGCCUUUUCUGCAUCUCACCCCACCCACCAGGGACUGGGCUGGGUGAGCACAAGAAGUUGAGAGGGGAUACUGCUUACCCCAAUGGACCCAAGGAAUAUCCCAGGCCAUAUGGCAUCAUGCUCAGCAUAUAAAGCUGGAGGAAGAAGGGAGGGAUGUCAGGAGUGAUGGUAUUUGUCAUUCCAAGUCACCAUUAACAUGUGGUGGAGCCCUGCUUUCCUGGAGAUGGCUGAACAUCUGCCUGCAGUUGGCAGGAAGCUCAGCUGACACAGACCUUACCUUUGGACUUUGCAGUGCAUAAUAUCCAACCAGGAGACUGGCUCCUAGUUAAGGAGUGGAAAGAAGCACCACUGGUGGCUAAGUGGCGUGGACCUUUCCAGGUGUUGCUGACCACAGAAACAGCCGUC